UACGUAGGGUGCGAGCGUUAAUCGGAAUUACUGGGCGUAAAGCGUGCGCAGGCGGUUCAUUAAGUCAGAUGUGAAAGCCCCGGGCUCAACCUGGGAACUGCAUUUGAAACUGGCGGGCUUGAGUGUGGCAGAGGGGGGUGGAAUUCCGCGUGUAGCAGUGAAAUGCGUAGAUACUGGGAGGAACACCGGUGGCGAAGGCGGCUACCUGGACCGGUUCUGACGCUGAGGCGCGAAAGCGUGGGUAGCAAACAGG
rnacentral:rRNA from 1 species